UACGUAGGGUGCGAGCGUUAAUCGGAAUUACUGGGCGUAAAGCGUGCGCAGGCGGUGAUGUAAGACAGAUGUGAAAUCCCCGGGCUCAACCUGGGACCUGCAUUUGUGACUGCAUCGCUGGAGUGCGGCAGAGGGGGAUGGAAUUCCGCGUGUAGCAGUGAAAUGCGUAGAUAUGCGGAGGAACACCGAUGGCGAAGGCAAUCCCCUGGGCCUGCACUGACGCUCAUGCACGAAAGCGUGAGGAGCAAACAGG
rnacentral:rRNA from 1 species